CGGCCGCGUCGACAUGCAAGUCGAGGGGCAGCGGGAUUGAAGCUUGCUUCAAUUGCCGGCGACCGGCGCACGGGUGAGUAACGCGUAUCCAACCUUCCGCUUACUCGGGGAUAGCCUUUCGAAAGAAAGAUUAAUACCCGAUGGUAUCUUAAGCACGCAUGAGAUUAAGAUUAAAGAUUUAUCGGUAAGCGAUGGGGAUGCGUUCCAUUAGGCAGUUGGCGGGGUAACGGCCCACCAAACCUACGAUGGAUAGGGGUUCUGAGAGGAAGGUCCCCCACAUUGGAACUGAGACACGGUCCAAACUCCUACGGGAGGCAGCAGUGAGGGUCGACGCGGCCG
rnacentral:rRNA from 1 species